rnacentral:tRNA from 1 species
GUCCUCUGGUCAGUUGAUUAGAGCGCUGCACCGGAAUCGCAGGGCCGUAGGUUCAAUUCCCACCAGAGGACC